GGGAGCAGCAGGUCGGGGCGUCCCGGGGUGCCUGCCUGCUUCUGACCCCCCAAAGCGGGGCAGGACCCUGGCUCCAGGGUGUGUGCUCCGAGCCGGCCCUCCCUACCCCGAGCUUCUGCUGCCCUAAAGGUCCCGGCGAUACGGGCAAGAGGGCAAGUCACAGGUCACUGCGAGUCCACGCGAUAGCGUCAGCAAAGAGCGAGCUUUGCAGGAGGGAAAACGCCGAGAAGCUUGCCCUGGGGAAGUCACGUUUGUAGAGUCUAAGUACAGAGAUCGACCCUGAACCAACAUUGAUUUCUGACACCUUGUGGGUGUCCACAUCUUCCUGACUUCUUGGAGAAAGAAGGGAUUUUCCCAGAUGCCAAUGAGAGACUGGACCAUCUGCAACCAGCCCCAGUCCAGAUGAUACAGUUGGAGCCUACCCACAGCAUCCUCUCCGCCUUCAGACAGUUCCAGGAACCAGAGUGUGUCAAGUUGAUAACUGAGAUUAACCACCACACAUGAAAAAUGUUCUUGCCUGUAAUGUGCACGUCAAAGUGGACAACCAUGUGGACAUUUUGCAGGUGAAGCCUGAAGCUUUGCACGUGGCACCCAUCCAGGAAUGCCUGCUGACUGACUGGAAAACUACAUUGGUGGGCUGGAACAAGACAGAGCCCUGGAGUCUCAGAGACAAGGAGCUCUUAUUCCUUCUGUGAUGGUGCUGGAAGACCUGGCUUUUAUUCUGGAAACUUCUGGGUAUAGGAGUCUUUUCUGCCUCAGGGUAGACUCUACCUUCCUGGGACAAACUAGUGAGAGACAGGUACUUCACUUUCUAGGCUACAGAGUAGCCUCUGGGUCUGCCAUGCCCAACUGAUGUUUAUAGUAAUGGAGCAGGGUGAGUGGGCCAUAGGUUCUCAAGGUUUGCCACGAAUUAGUCUUGGUUAGGAACAUUUGACAAGUGUGGAUUUU